rnacentral:rRNA from 1 species
GAUGAACGCUGGCGGCGUGCUUAACACAUGCAAGUCGAACGAUGAAGCCCAGCCUGCUGGGCGGAUUAGUGGCGAACGGGUGAGUAACACGUGAGUAACCUGCCCUUGACUCUGGGAUAAGCCCGGGAAACUGGGUCUAAUACCGGAUAGGAGCGCCUGUCGCAUGACGGGUGCUGGAAAGAUUUUUCGGUCAUGGAUGGACUCGCGGCCUAUCAGCUUGUUGGUGAGGUAACGGCUCACCAAGGCGACGACGGGUAGCCGGCCUGAGAGGGUGACCGGCCACACUGGGACUGAGACACGGCCCAGACUCCUACGGGAGGCAGCAGUGGGGAAUAUUGCACAAUGGGCGGAAGCCUGAUGCAGCGACGCCGCGUGAGGGAUGACGGCCUUCGGGUUGUAAACCUCUUUCAGUAGGGAAGAAGCGAAAG